rnacentral:misc_RNA from 1 species
AGAGCAUUGCAACAAAGUUUCAAUGAGAUCCAAUAAUCGUCUAAAUACUGUUCUCUGCCUUCAAAACAAAAUUCAAACGCCAAAACUUUAUAAAGUAGCCACUAAUUUUGUAGUUUUGCAACAAAGAGAUCAAACAUCACUAUUUUGUAUCUUCAAGCCUCAGUGAUGGGGUACUCGAACACGACAUCUUUGCCUGAAAGCUUCCUAUAAACUGCAGAAAAAGUCUCCAGCUUGUACUCUGUGUUAUUACGCUCCUUGGGGUCCAAGUAGACCUUCAUUAUCUUGGAUCCAUCAACGCGAUAUCUAGUUCGCUUCCCAACAAUCUCUGCAGGGACAACCAAAUCCUCCAACAUGGCAUCAUGGACAGAAGUAAGGGUCCUGGUGCGGGGUCGCUGAGCAGCAGAGCCUCUCUUUGGGGGCCUCACUAUCCUCCUGGUGGCAAUGAAGAUCACAUCCUACAAGAAAAGGAAUUUCAGGAAAUGCUAAAAGAAAAUGUAUCCUUCCUGGAAAAGAGUUGAAUGAAUGAUCUAAUCUAUUCAACAACCACCAG